rnacentral:rRNA from 1 species
UACGUAGGGCGCAAGCGUUGUCCGGAAUUAUUGGGCGUAAAGAGCUCGUAGGCGGUCUGUUACGUCCGCUGCGAAAACCCAGGGCUUAACCCUGGGCUUGCAGUGGAUACGGGUAGACUAGAGGCAUGCAGGGGAGAACGGAAUUCCUGGUGUAGCGGUGAAAUGCGCAGAUAUCAGGAGGAACACCGGUGGCGAAGGCGGUUCUCUGGGCAUGUCCUGACGCUGAGGAGCGAAAGUGUGGGGAGCGAACAGG